UCAAUGAUGAUGUUUAUUAUUUUAAUAAAAUUAUUAAUAGAGAAGAAUAGAAUAAAAGUAAGUAACGGUGUACUGUAGCAUUGUUUAAUAAUUAGUAAAUAAUAAAUAAACUAGGUAAGCGAAUAAUAAUCGUAUUUAUAUUUCAGGAAGUAAGAGGUACUAUUACCAGGCAUUAUUUGAUAGCGAUCAUUGUUUAGAAUAUCAAAUAUAAAUAAUGAAAAUGGAUUAAUACUGAGAAGUUAUAUUGAAGACAAUUAAUGCUAAACAAUCGAUCAUCGACGAUGAUCGAUUUCAAGAUCAGAUAUCGAUGCUCCAUCAUUGAGGAACGAAAAUUGGGUGGACUACUCUUAAAUGAAUCCAAUUUAGCUUUUUGAAUGGCCAAGAAGACGCAACCGGUGCACGCAUGCCUCCAGGCUGAGAAUCAACUCGCCAAUUGCUGGAUGCUAUAUUAUGGUGGAUUAAGAGCGAUCGCGUGCAGAUGCCAAUCGCCCACAUGUCCCGCCCACGUGGGCCCAAAUGUGGAAGCCAAGUCAAUAAACUCAGUUAAUAAAAAAUUUAUAAUGAUAAUAAUAAUGAUGAUGAAGAUAUUAACUAAAGAUCGUUAAUAAAUAACAAAAUACCAAAUGAUGACGAAAUUUCAUAAUGUAAUGCCUUGAGUCAUUUUUAUUUUGAUG